ensembl:lncRNA
GACGGUCAUAGGUCUUCUUUGGAGCCUCUGAUUCCUUGAGACCCAGGAAGGAUGUCUCACCACCAGCAUCCGCCUCCAAAUCCACAUCCGCAUCCGAAGCCACAGCCAAAGCCACAGCCGCAUCCGCAUCCGCAUCCGCAUCCACAGCCACAGCCGCAUCCGCAGCCGCAUCCGCAGCCGCAUCCGCAGCCGCAUCCGCAGCCGCAGCCGCAUCCGCCUCCGCAGCCGCAUCCGCCUCCGCCUCCGCCUCCACCUCCGCAGCCGCAUCUGCAGCCACAUCCGCCUCCGCCUCCGCAGCCGCAUCCGCCUCCGCCUCCACAGCCGCAGCCGAAGCCGCAGCUGCAGCCGCAGCCGAAGCCACAUCCGCAGCCGCAGCCGAAGCCACAUCCGCAGCCGAAACCACAUCCGCAGCCGCAGCCACAUCCGCCUCCGCAGCCACAUCCGCAGCCGCAUCCGCAGCCGAAGCCGCAUCCGCAGCCAAAGCCGCAGCCGCUUCCGCAGCUGCAGCCGAAGCCGCAGCCAAAGCCACAGCCGCAGUUGCAGCCGAAGCCACAUCCACAUCAGCAUUAGCAUCACCAUCAGUGCAAGGAGCCCUGUCAUCCACCUCCAAUAGUCUGCCCACUGAAGUGCCAUGAGCCUUGCCCACCUCAUCCAUGCCCACCUCCAGUGAGCCAGCAGAAAUGCCCUCCUGGGCCACCAUGCCCACCAUGCGAGCACAAGUGUCCACCCAAGUGGAAGUACAGCACCAGAUUUCAUCUGGACCAAGAAACAAGAUCCAAGCUCUUCCAUUGUCCUCCCUUUGGCCAUGGUGAUGGACUGCAUCUUCCUUAACCUCCCCCCUCAACCGACAGCUGACAGAGGAAAGGCUUGCUUCCUGAAGCUGACACCGCAUUGUUGGAAGAAUAGCAGCAGAAUCAUCGCUUGAUCUCUCUGUGCUAUGUGCCCGUCUGUAAUCCACGUUGUGAUCUCUACCCGCAGGUACCACCUAGUUCCUAAGACUUCUCGUGAGAAGAAUGCUGUGAAAGCACCUACUCCAUCCCCAGACAUUGCUGUUCCUUCCAGGAUUCCUGAAGGGCGUCUCUUUCCUAAUGGUGAUCCUGGUUACUCCACUGUGGAAUCUCAGAGGACUAGGCAGGAACAGCGGUCCUCAUCUUGGUUCUCUGAGAGAAUGAGAAAGAGAUCAGGAGCAGGACUCAGUCUAAAGAAGUUCCUACCUCUUCAGACACCCAGGUUAUGCCCCUGGUCUUUUUCUGAACCGCAUCAGCCCAGUCAAGAUAGAAACACAGCAGAUGCUGCACUGUCUUCUUUCAGGAAAGAGCACAAGCUUGAAA